UUGGAGGGCAAGUCUGGUGCCAGCAGCCGCGGUAAUUCCAGCUCCAAUAGCGUAUAUUAAAGUUGUUGCAGUUAAAAAGCUCGUAGUUGAACUUCGGGGCGGGGGUGGCGGUCGCCUCUUACGGGGUCGUACUGCCAUUUUUACUCCGCUCUCUACCUUCUGACGAGCCGGUUAUGCACUUUAUUGGGCGUACCGGGGAAUCAGGACUGUUACCUUGAAAAAAUUAGAGUGUUUAAAGCAGGCUAUUAAGCUUGAAUACAUUAGCAUGGAAUAACGAAAUAGGACGGUUUGGCUCUAUUUUGUUGGUUUCUAGGACCACCGUAAUGAUUAAUAGGGAUAGUUGGGGGCAUUAGUAUUCAAUUGUCAGAGGUGAAAUUCUUGGAUUUAUUGAAGACUAACUUCUGCGAAAGCAUUUGCCAAGGAUGUUUUCAUUAAUCAAGAACGAAAGUUAGGGGAUCGAAGACGAUCAGAUACCGUCGUAGUCUUAACCAUAAACUAUGCCGACUAGGGAUCGGGCGAUGUUACAUUCCAAUAUGACUCGUUCGGCGCCUACGGGAAAC
rnacentral:rRNA from 1 species